rnacentral:rRNA from 1 species
UACGUAGGCAGCAAGCGUUGUUCGGAGUUACUGGGCGUAAAGGGUGUGUAGGCGGUUCUCUAAGUUUGGUGUGAAAUCUCCCGGCUCAACUGGGAGGGUGCGCCGAAAACUGGGGGGCUAGAGUACUGGAUGGGAGAGUGGAAUUCCUGGUGUAGCGGUGAAAUGCGUAGAUAUCGAGGAGGAACGACCGUGUGGUGUGAGAACGGCUCUCUGGACAGUAACUGACGCUGAGACACGAAAGCGUGGGUAGCAAACAGG